UACGAAGGGGGCUAGCGUUGUUCGGAAUUACUGGGCGUAAAGCGCGCGCAGGCGGUCUUCCAAGUCAGUGGUGAAAGCCCGGAGCUCAACUCCGGAACUGCCAUUGAAACUGUGAGACUGAGGAUGAGAGAGGUGAGUGGAAUUCCCAGUGUAGAGGUGAAAUUCGUAGAUAUUGGGAAGAACACCGGUGGCGAAGGCGGCUCACUGGCUCAUAUCUGACGCUCAGGCGCGAC
rnacentral:rRNA from 1 species